GGAGGCGUGGCUGAGUGGUUGAAGGCACCUGUCUUGAAAACAGGAGACUGAGCAAUCGGUCCGUGAGUUCGAAUCUCACCGCCUCCG
rnacentral:tRNA from 1 species